GACAGAGGUUGCAAACGUUGUUCGGAAUUACUGGGCAUAAAGCGCACGUAGGCCGUCCGCUAAGUCAGGCGUGAAAUCCCCCGGCUCAACCGGGGAAUUGCGCCUGAUACUGGUGGACUCGAGGUCGGUAGGGGUGAGCGGAACUCCAGGUGGAGCGGUGAAAUGCGUAGAUAUCUGGAGGAACACCGGUGGCGAAAGCGGCUCACUGGACCGAAUCUGACGCUGAGGUGCGAAAGCUAGGGUAGCAAACGGG
rnacentral:rRNA from 1 species